rnacentral:misc_RNA from 1 species
CGGUGCCAAGAGACGCUACUCAUACUUGCUGUUUGCUGCUACUCGUCUCUCAUUUCUUUCGAUUCCGAUUAGGAUUUCCUAUUCUCUAAUCUGAACCCCUAGCAAAGGCAGACAUGGCUCGCAACGAAGAGAAGGCUCAAUCGAUGCUAAAUCGAUUCAUAGCCCUAAAAGAACAGGAAAAGAAGAAACCCAAAGAGCGCCGCCCCUACCUCGCCUCUGAGUGCCGGGACCUCGCCGAGGCCGAUAAAUGGCGCCAGCAGAUUAUGCGAGAGAUCGGUCGCAAAGUCGCCGAAAUCCAGAACGAAGGCCUUGGCGAGCACCGUCUCCGUGACUUAAACGAUGAGAUUAACAAGCUAAUUCGAGAAAAAUCUCAUUGGGAACGCCGCAUCGUGGAGCUCGGCGGCCCUAACUACGCCAAACACGCCCCUAAAAUGACGGAUUUAGAAGGUAACAUAGUUGACGUCCCUAACCCUAGCGGGCGUGGCCCUGGGUACCGGUACUUUGGUGCGGCGAAGAAGUUACCGGGAGUUCGUGAGCUAUUCGAGAAGCCACCGGAAUUGAGGAAAAGAAGGACUAGAUAUGAUAUUUAUAAAAGAAUUGAUGCCAGUUAUUAUGGCUAUAGGGAUGAUGAGGAUGGGGUUUUGGAGAAAGUAGAGGUGCCCGCGGAAGAGAGGCUGAGGGCGGCUGCCGAGGAGGAGUGGAUGAGGAUGGACGAAAUAAGGAGGGAAGCCAGGAAAGGUGCAAAGGAGGUGGUGAGUGUUGGGGCUGUGGCAACAGAGGUGUUGUUUGAGGAGGAGGAAGAUGUGGUGGACGAGGAGAGGAAGAGGGAGCGGGAGAAGGAAGAAAGGGAGAGGAAAGAAAAGGAGAGGGAGUUUGUGGUGCAUGUGCCAUUGCCAGAUGAGAAGGAAAUUGAGAGGAUGGUGUUGGAGAAGAAGAAGUUGGAGUUGUUGAGUAAGUAUGCCAGUAAUACGUUGCUGGAGGAGCAGAGUGAGGCCAAGGCCAUGCUUAACAUUCAGCGCUAGAUAAUGGUAUGUGUAGACUGCGGUGGCUUGAUUUUUGCUAUUUGCAUUUGUGCAUCUGCUUUCGCAGUAGAAUGUGGAUUUCUUUUAACCAUAUUGCUAUUAAUGUAACCUAGAUGUUGUGCUUUGAUUUUCUAGGAAAGUUUAGCGUGAUUUCUGAUAUUUGCUCAAUAUUACACAUGCGUGUGUGCGUGUGUGUGCGUGUGUGUGUUGCUAUUUGUUUAACCUGGAUGCUGCGCUUUGUUUUUCUUGGAAACUUUUCUUUUGCCAAUGAUGAGUAUGUUGUGUUUUUGAUAACUGUUGCAAAAAUUAUAAUGGCUGUCAACAUGAAAGUGCUUGUCUUCUCUGGUUUUGAUUUUUAUUUUUGGUUGUUUGAUUGUCUUAUACCCUUAUCAUGCUGAUCAAGUGGAGGUUGGUAGGUGGACUUGUAGGUAUUUCAUGCAUAGCAUUCUUUUGCAUUUAUUUAUGGCAUUAGACAUCAUGUGUUUCCAUCUCUCUUUGUUCUUUAUCUUUAACAGCCAACCUGCUCUCUCCCUCCCCUGUUAGAGGUGACUUCACAUAGCAUCAUGCACUCUAACAACUGAUGCUUUUUCUUGCAAGAUGUUGUUUGAGUGGGAUUCCAAUAGCUGUACCAAAUGAGUGGGCAGUUUACAUAUGUAGAAAAUUUAUAAAAUUUGAAGUGUUAUCAGAGUACACAGCUAGAUGUUCUAACCUCACUAAUCUGUCUAAUUAAUGUCUUGAGGGAGCUGAAUUUGAAGAAACAAUCUUUUAUUUAUUUGGUUUGCAGGUUCUAGUCUAAAUUAUUCAGAACAACUGUGGUUUGAUAUUAGUGAUGGUCAGUUGAAAGGUAUAAAAUAAAAGUAAUUUAGGCUUCAGUUGUUCGUGGGAUAUAGCUUUCCUAUGGAAUAUAUAUUGUGGAAUACAUUUUGAGAAAUGAAUUAUUUUCAACUAUUUGGUAACAAUGGACACCAAUUGGAAAUUAUUUAUUAGGUGAAUGGAGUCACAUUGAAAAUAUAAAUAUAUAAUUUUCUUUUAAUAAAAGACCCUGAGCAUAUUUGGACCAAUAAGGGUUUUUUUCUUUUUUUUGGUGGCUUUUUGGGGGGUGGGGUUGAGAUUGUAGUUGAAUACUUGAAUGUGAGAAAAACUUAAACAAUAAAAAGUCUAAAGGGUUAAUUAAAAAAUAAAAAAUUCUAACCUCUAGUUAAAUUUGCAAUUGUAGUUAAUCUUUUUAUUUUUAUCAAUUAUAGAUAACUUUCAAAAUGGUAUGAAUUGUUGCCAAACUUGGAUGUGCAUAUGUUAAAAUUUGAAAAUUGCUGAUAUCAUUUACUUCAUUAGAAAAAAAAAAAAAUCAUGAUUGCAUUUGAAUGAUUCAUUUAAGUGUUUGAUACUGUGCAAAGUUGUUUGUGUUAUUUUAAAAAUAAUCAAUUAUUAUCUAUUGCUAAAAAAUUUAAAAGAAGAGACAAAAUUUGAAUAUUUUUAUUGCAUUCUCUCUCUAUUACUUGCUUAAAUAUGUUUAUGUUAAUAGCUUUUGCAUAUGCUCUUCCAAGUUUGAUUACUAUUGACACCCAUGUGAAAAGUUGUAUCUAUGUGCAAAAGUAAAAGGAUUGGUUAUAAUUGCAAAUUGGAUUAAAUAUUUGGGGCUCUUUAGUCAUUAAACCAAGUCUAUUUUGUGAUGGCUGCAAGUGACUGGUUCCACACCUGCUACUGAAAUACUCAUUGGCAGUUUUAUGAACAAGUGGGAAUGUACAUAUGUGGUUCUGUAAAAUUGUUCCUUGUCUGACUUUAUAGAAGUUUGGAAGAUAAUUCUUGUUUUGAAAAAAAAAAAAAAAUCUCAGAAUAUUUUCUGCAAAGCAAAUGGAGUGUUGCUGACCUGCAUGUACUUCAAUUUAAGUACUUAGCUUGAAAGAGCUGACCCUUGUCACAAUAGUCUCUGCCAUCGCUUACAAAGAUAUGAGUUGUUUGUUUAUGCUCUUAUAAGUAAUAUAUAGUUGAUUAUUUGUUUAUUUCAGAUAUGGAGAAGCUAUGAUAUGGAUAAGAAAAUGCAUGUUGAUGGUGCCACCAAAUUUGGGGCUUGUGAUGUAACCCCAUUUAAUCUGCUAGAUUCCCUAGCUGUCUUUAUGUUCCAAGAAAGUAGAUGUUUUAGAGUACAGACUCAGCCUUCCCGGUGGUUCUUAAGUAGGUUGGAUGCGCAGGAAAGAGAUUGUUCAAAGUUGAAAUUGAAGAUGGUGUGAGGAGUGGAAAUUGAAGAAUCAUAUCACACUGAUUGAUAAAUCCUAUUAUCUGAAAUCAAGUUAUUGAUCUUAUUGUUAUUGAAGCUCCUUGAAAUUAAUUGAUCUUCUUUGUGCACUCUUCUUCUUCUUUUUCUUUUCUUCU